rnacentral:rRNA from 1 species
UACGAAGGGGGCUAGCGUUGCUCGGAAUCACUGGGCGUAAAGGGGCGCGUAGGCGGCGUUUUAAGUCGGGGGUGAAAGCCUGUGGCUCAACCACAGAAUGGCCUUCGAAUACUGGGACGCUUGAGUAUGGUAGAGGUUGGUGGAAGCUGCGAGUGUAGAGGUGAAAUUCGUAGAUAUUCGCAAGAACACCGGUGGCGAAGGCGGCCAAGCUGGACCAUUACUGGACGCUGAGGCGCGAA